AGUAUAAAUAAUAAAAGCAUUAAGUGGAUGCCUUGGCAUUAAUUUAAUUUUUAGGACGUAAAAAAUGCGAAAAGCUAUAUUAAAUUAUAUUUUAUUUUGAAAUAUAGAUUUCCUAAAGAAAACUUUUUCUUUGUGAAAAUUUUAAACGCAGUGAAUUGAAAUAUCUUAGUAACUGUUAAAAAAAAUCAAACGAGAUUCCGUUAGUAAUGACGAAUGAACAUGGAAAUUAGGUUUAUAAAAAUAAACUAAAUUAUUUGAAAAAUUUUGAAAAAUUUACUUAAAAAGGUGAAAGUCCUGUAGAAUAAUUUUUAUUUUUAUUAUAGUAAAAAGAGGUAUGUGUAAUCUUUUUUGAAUAUUGGGGAACCACCCUCAAAACCUAUUAAGAAUUAAUGAUCGAUAGUGAACAAGUACUGUAAAGGAAAGGUGAAAAAGAACUUUUGAGUUUGAAAUAAUUCUGAAACUUAAUGUUAACAAUCAAUUGAAACUUUUAUAAAAAGUGACAGUGUACCUUUUGCAUAAUGGGCCAGCAAGUUUAUUUUUAUAGCAAGCUUAAUUUAAUAAAGUAGGCGUAGAUAAAUCAAGUUUUAAAAAGCUUUUUAGUUAUAUAAAUAAGACCCGAAACUGAGUGAUCUAACCAUGAACAGAUUGAAAAAUAGGUAAAACUAUUUGGAGGAUCGAACUCACAUAUGUGGCAAAAUAUGGAGAUGAUUUGUGGUUAGGAGUGAAAGGCUAAUCAAACUCAGAGAUAGCUGGUUUUCCGCGAAAUCUAUUGAAGUAGAGCAUUUAAAAUCUUUUUUUGGGGUAGAGCACUCAUUGAGCUAGGGGGCGUAAAAACUUACUGAAUUCUUGGAAACUCCGAAUACAAAAAAACGUAAUUUAAAUAGACAGACAUUAGGCGCUAAGGUCUAUUGUCAAGAGGGAAACAGCCCAGAUUGAUCGCUAAGGUCUCAAAAUAAUAUUCUAAGUGAAAAAGGAAGUGAAAAAAUAAUUACAACCAGUAGGUAGGCUUGGAAGCAGCCAUCCUUUAAAGAAAGCGUAAUAGCUCAUUGGUCUAGUUUUUUUGCGCCUAAAAUGUAUCGAGACUUAAGAAAUUUACCGAAGCGGCAAGUUUUAUUUUUAAAUAAAACGGUAGCGGAACAUUCUGUAUGUUAAUAAAGAUAUAUUGUGAGAUAUGUUGAAGAUAUCAGAAAAGAAAAUGCUGGCAUUAGUAACAAAAAAUAACGAAUACGAAUCGUUAUCACCGUAAAUCCAAGGGUUUCUAUGUUAAGAUGUAUUGCAUAGAGUGAAACGGCCCCUAAGAAAGAUUUGACGAAAGCAAAUUUUGAUGGGAUAAUUUUUAAAUUAAAUUUUUUUAAAAAAGUGACAAAAAUUUUUUUAAUUUUUCAGGAAAUAACUUUUUUAAUUAAAAACCGUACCCUAAACCGACACAGGUGGAUAGGUCGAGUAGACUAAGGUGAAUGAGAGAACUAUAUUGAAGGAACUCGGCAAAAUGACUUUGUAACUUCGGGAUAAAAAGUACCUAAUUAUAAUUAAUUUAAAAUAUGACUAAAAACCUGAGUACCGUGUUUACACAAUUUUCUAAUAUACUUGCGAUUUUAAUUUUUUUAAUAAUUAGGUGUCACAAAAUAGGGGGUUGCGACUGUUUAAUAAAAACUUAGGACUCUGCUAAAUGGUAACAUGAUGUAUAGGGUCUGACACCUGCCCGGUGCUGGAAGAUUAAAAGGAAAUGUUUGCGCAUUAAAUGGAAGUCCCAGUAAACGGCGGCCGUAACUCUGACGGUCCUAAGGUAGCGAAAUUCCUUGUCGGGUAAGUUCCGACCUGCAUGAAUGGUGUAACGACAUCCCCGCUGUCUCCAAUAUAGACUCAGUGAAUUUGAAUUAUCCGUGAAGAUGCGGAUUCUCUAUAGUUAGACGGAAAGACCCCGUGAACCUUUACUACAUCUUUAUAUUGUUAUAUUAUCUAAUAUGUGUAGCAUAAGUGGUAAUUAUUUAGACCUUUACGCUAGUAAAUUGUUUAGAUAUCCUUGAAAUACCACUCUUAUUAAAAUAAAUAACUAAUAUUUAUCUAAAUAGACAGUGUAUGGUUGGUAGUUUGACUGGGGCGGUCACCUCCUAAAGAGUAACGGAGGUGUACAAAGGUAAGCUCAAAUUGGAUACUUGUAUCAAUUGUAGAGCAUAAUGGUAAAAGCUUGCUUGACUGUAAGAUAGACAUAUCAAACAGGGACGAAAGUCGGUCAUAGUGAUCCGAUAAUUCUUUGUGGAAAGAUUAUCGCUCAACGGAUAAAAGGUACUCCGGGGAUAACAGGCUGAUGACUCCUAAGAGCUCCUAUCGACGGAGUCGUUUGGCACCUCGAUGUCGACUCAUCACAUCCUGGAGCUGAAGAAGGUUCCAAGGGUUCGGCUGUUCGCCGAUUAAAGUGGUACGUGAGUUGGGUUUAGAACGUCGUGAGACAGUUUGGUUCCUAUCUUCUAUAGAUAUUUUGAAAAAUGAAAGAAUCUAACUCUAGUACGAGAGGACCGAGAAGGGUAAAUCUCUGGUGUAUCGGUUGUUGAAAGGCAUCGCCGAGUAGCUAAAUUUAUUUUGGAUAAUUACUGAAAGCAUCUAAGUAAGAAACCAUUCUUAAAAAUUUUUCAUAUAAAAACUGUAAAAGACGAUUACAUUAAUAGGU
rnacentral:rRNA from 1 species